UACCAGCACUCCGAGUGGUCGGGACGAUUAUUGGGCCUAAAGCAUCCGUAGCCGGUUCUACAAGUCUUCCGUUAAAUCCACCUGCUUAACAGAUGGGCUGCGGAGGAUACUAUGGAGCUAGGAGGCGGGAGAGGCAAGCGGUACUUAGUGGGUAGGGGUAAAAUCCGUUGAUCCAUUGAAGACCACCAGUGGCGAAGGCGGCUUGCCAGAACGCACUCGACGGUGAGGGAUGAAAGCUGGGGGAGCAAACCGG
rnacentral:rRNA from 1 species